rnacentral:rRNA from 1 species
GACGAACGCUGGCGGCGUGCCUAACACAUGCAAGUCGUACGGGACCGGGGGCAACUCCGGUUCAGUGGCAGACGGGUGCGUAACACGUGAGGAACCUGUCCGGUGGCGGGGGAUAGCCGGCCCAACGGCCGGGUAAUACCGCAUACGCUCGUUCGGGGGCAUCCCUGGGCGAGGAAAGCAGCCGCAAGGUUGCGCCGACGGAGGGCCUCGCGACCUAUCAGCUUGUUGGCGGGGUAACGGCCCACCAAGGCGACGACGGGUAGCUGGUCUGAGAGGAUGAUCAGCCACAUUGGGACUGAGACACGGCCCAGACUCCUACGGGAGGCAGCAGGUGGGGAAUAUUGCGCAAUGGCCGCAAGGCUGACGCAGCGACGCCGCGUGUGGGAUGACGGUCUUCGGA